UUGCUUUGGCAGCACAUGUACUAAAAUUGGAAUGAUGCAGAGAAAGUUAGCAUGGCUGCUGUGCAAGGAUGACAUGCAGAUUCAUGAGGCAUUCCACAGUUAA